rnacentral:piRNA from 1 species
UAACACUGAAGAGCCUUCACAUUGAUGCA